rnacentral:tRNA from 1 species
GCCGGCGUAGCUCAGUGGUAGAGCAGCGGUUUUGUAAACCGUUGGUCGUGGGUUCGAAUCCCUCCGCCGGCU